rnacentral:rRNA from 1 species
GGUUAAGCGACUAAGCGUACACGGUGGAUGCCCUGGCAGUCAGAGGCGAUGAAGGACGUGCUAAUCUGCGAUAAGCGUCGGUAAGGUGAUAUGAACCGUUAUAACCGGCGAUUUCCGAAUGGGGAAACCCAGUGUGAUUCGUCACACUAUCAUUAACUGAAUCCAUAGGUUAAUGAGGCGAACCGGGGGAACUGAAACAUCUAAGUACCCCGAGGAAAAGAAAUCAACCGAGAUUCCCCCAGUAGCGGCGAGCGAACGGGGAGGAGCCCAGAGCCUGAAUCAGUGUGUGUGUUAGUGGAAGCGUCUGGAAAGGCGCGCGAUACAGGGUGACAGCCCCGUACACAAAAAUGCACAUGCUGUGAGCUCGAUGAGUAGGGCGGGACACGUGGUAUCCUGUCUGAAUAUGGGGGGACCAUCCUCCAAGGCUAAAUACUCCUGACUGACCGAUAGUGAACCAGUACCGUGAGGGAAAGGCGAAAAGAACCCCGGCGAGGGGAGUGAAAAAGAACCUGAAACCGUGUACGUACAAGCAGUGGGAGCACGCUUAGGCGUGUGACUGCGUACCUUUUGUAUAAUGGGUCAGCGACUUAUAUUCUGUAGCAAGGUUAACCGAAUAGGGGAGCCGAAGGGAAACCGAGUCUUAACUGGGCGUUAAGUUGCAGGGUAUAGACCCGAAACCCGGUGAUCUAGCCAUGGGCAGGUUGAAGGUUGGGUAACACUAACUGGAGGACCGAACCGACUAAUGUUGAAAAAUUAGCGGAUGACUUGUGGCUGGGGGUGAAAGGCCAAUCAAACCGGGAGAUAGCUGGUUCUCCCCGAAAGCUAUUUAGGUAGCGCCUCGUGAAUUCAUCUCCGGGGGUAGAGCACUGUUUCGGCAAGGGGGUCAUCCCGACUUACCAACCCGAUGCAAACUGCGAAUACCGGAGAAUGUUAUCACGGGAGACACACGGCGGGUGCUAACGUCCGUCGUGAAGAGGGAAACAACCCAGACCGCCAGCUAAGGUCCCAAAGUCAUGGUUAAGUGGGAAACGAUGUGGGAAGGCCCAGACAGCCAGGAUGUUGGCUUAGAAGCAGCCAUCAUUUAAAGAAAGCGUAAUAGCUCACUGGUCGAGUCGGCCUGCGCGGAAGAUGUAACGGGGCUAAACCAUGCACCGAAGCUGCGGCAGCGACGCUUAUGCGUUGUUGGGUAGGGGAGCGUUCUGUAAGCCUGCGAAGGUGUGCUGUGAGGCAUGCUGGAGGUAUCAGAAGUGCGAAUGCUGACAUAAGUAACGAUAAAGCGGGUGAAAAGCCCGCUCGCCGGAAGACCAAGGGUUCCUGUCCAACGUUAAUCGGGGCAGGGUGAGUCGACCCCUAAGGCGAGGCCGAAAGGCGUAGUCGAUGGGAAACAGGUUAAUAUUCCUGUACUUGGUGUUACUGCGAAGGGGGGACGGAGAAGGCUAUGUUGGCCGGGCGACGGUUGUCCCGGUUUAAGCGUGUAGGCUGGUUUUCCAGGCAAAUCCGGAAAAUCAAGGCUGAGGCGUGAUGACGAGGCACUACGGUGCUGAAGCAACAAAUGCCCUGCUUCCAGGAAAAGCCUCUAAGCAUCAGGUAACAUCAAAUCGUACCCCAAACCGACACAGGUGGUCAGGUAGAGAAUACCAAGGCGCUUGAGAGAACUCGGGUGAAGGAACUAGGCAAAAUGGUGCCGUAACUUCGGGAGAAGGCACGCUGAUAUGUAGGUGAAGUCCCUCGCGGAUGGAGCUGAAAUCAGUCGAAGAUACCAGCUGGCUGCAACUGUUUAUUAAAAACACAGCACUGUGCAAACACGAAAGUGGACGUAUACGGUGUGACGCCUGCCCGGUGCCGGAAGGUUAAUUGAUGGGGUUAGCCGCAAGGCGAAGCUCUUGAUCGAAGCCCCGGUAAACGGCGGCCGUAACUAUAACGGUCCUAAGGUAGCGAAAUUCCUUGUCGGGUAAGUUCCGACCUGCACGAAUGGCGUAAUGAUGGCCAGGCUGUCUCCACCCGAGACUCAGUGAAAUUGAACUCGCUGUGAAGAUGCAGUGUACCCGCGGCAAGACGGAAAGACCCCGUGAACCUUUACUAUAGCUUGACACUGAACAUUGAGCCUUGAUGUGUAGGAUAGGUGGGAGGCUUUGAAGUGUGGACGCCAGUCUGCAUGGAGCCGACCUUGAAAUACCACCCUUUAAUGUUUGAUGUUCUAACGUUGACCCGUAAUCCGGGUUGCGGACAGUGUCUGGUGGGUAGUUUGACUGGGGCGGUCUCCUCCUAAAGAGUAACGGAGGAGCACGAAGGUUGGCUAAUCCUGGUCGGACAUCAGGAGGUUAGUGCAAUGGCAUAAGCCAGCUUGACUGCGAGCGUGACGGCGCGAGCAGGUGCGAAAGCAGGUCAUAGUGAUCCGGUGGUUCUGAAUGGAAGGGCCAUCGCUCAACGGAUAAAAGGUACUCCGGGGAUAACAGGCUGAUACCGCCCAAGAGUUCAUAUCGACGGCGGUGUUUGGCACCUCGAUGUCGGCUCAUCACAUCCUGGGGCUGAAGUAGGUCCCAAGGGUAUGGCUGUUCGCCAUUUAAAGUGGUACGCGAGCUGGGUUUAGAACGUCGUGAGACAGUUCGGUCCCUAUCUGCCGUGGGCGCUGGAGAACUGAGGGGGGCUGCUCCUAGUACGAGAGGACCGGAGUGGACGCAUCACUGGUGUUCGGGUUGUCAUGCCAAUGGCACUGCCCGGUAGCUAAAUGCGGAAGAGAUAAGUGCUGAAAGCAUCUAAGCACGAAACUUGCCCCGAGAUGAGUUCUCCCUGACCCUUUAAGGGUCCUGAAGGAACGUUGAAGACGACGACGUUGAUAGGCCGGGUGUGUAAGCGCAGCGAUGCGUUGAGCUAACCGGUACUAAUGAACCGUGAGGCUUAACCUU